AUACGGAGGGUGCAAGCGUUACUCGGAAUCACUGGGCGUAAAGCGCGCGCAGGCGGUCUUUUAAGUUGGAUGUGAAAGCCUACAGCUCAACUGUAGAACUGCAUCCAAAACUAUUAGACUAGAGUCUGGGAGGGGAAGAUGGAAUUAGUUGUGUAGGAGUAAAAUCCGUAGAGAUAACUAGGAAUACCAAAAGCGAAGGCGAUCUUCUGGAACAGUGCUGACGCUGAGGCGCGAAAGCGUGGGGAGCAAACAGGAUUAGAAACCCUAGUAGUCC
rnacentral:rRNA from 1 species